rnacentral:lncRNA from 1 species
GUCAAUUUUAGAAGAUAUUAUAAUGCCCAAUAACAAUCUGGAAGGACCAAUUCCAAUCGAGUUCUGUCAGCUUUAUUUUCUGACGAUUUUAGACCUUUCAAACAAUGCUAUUUUUGGAACCUUACCAUCUUGUUUUAGUCCAGCAUCUAUUGAACAAGUUCAUUUGUCAAAAAACAGGAUAGAAGGACGGUUGGAAAGUAUAAUCCAUGACAGCCCCAAUUUGGUGACAUUAGAUCUCAGUUAUAAUCGCUUACACGGAAGUAUUCCAAAUCGGAUUGAAAGACUACCUAAGUUAAACUACAUUCUUUUGGCUAAUAAUUAUAUUGAAGGCGAAAUACCAGUUCAAUUAUGCCAUUUGAAGGAAGUGCAGUUGAUUGAUCUUUCUCAUAAUAAUCUAUCUGGUCAUAUUCCUCCUUGCUUGGUUAACACUUCACUUAGUGAAGGUCAUCAUGAGGCAGUAGCUCCAACUUCUAGUUUGUUGGGUCAACUGCCUGCCUCACCUCCAUCUGAAUCUGAGGCUGCAAGUGGACCUCCGAUGGGAAAGGAAGAAACUGUACAGUUCACAACAAAGAAUAUGUCCUACUAUUAUCAAGGAAGAAUUUUGACGAGUAUGUCUGGGAUUGAUCUUUCUUGUAACAAACUGACAGGUGAGAUUCCUACUCAAAUUGGAUAUCUUACUAGGAUUCAUGCACUAAAUCUAUCUCAUAACAAUUUGACGGGCACAAUCCCGACAACAUUUUCAAACCUGAAGCAAAUCGAAAGCUUGGACCUCUCCUACAACCUACUGCAUGGGAAAAUCCCUUCUCAGCUCACUGUGCUAACUACAUUGGCGGUCUUCAGAGUAGCAUACAAUAACUUAUCAGGCAAAAUCCCAGAUAGAGUUGCACAAUUUUCAACAUUUGAGGAAGAUAGCUAUGAGGGGAAUCCUUUUCUUUGUGGAUGGCCACUGUCUAAAAGUUGCAAUGAUAGUGGAUUAUCAGCAGUGACACCAGAAGCUUACACUGAAAAUGAAGAAGGUGAUAGUUUAAUUGACAUGGACAGUUUCUUGAUCACUUUUACAGUAUCUUAUGGAAUUGUGAUAUUAGGAAUUAUCGGAGUUUUGUACGUAAACCCCUAUUGGCGGCGAAGAUGGUUUUACCUUGUUGAAGUGUGUAUGACCUCUUGCUACUAUUUUGUGGCAGACAAUCUUGUUCCUAGAAGAUUCUAUGGUGGAUGGAUGUAAUUUCAUUUACUUUACAACUUAUAUGUAAUUUUUAAAGAAUUUUCUUUUGCAUGCAUGGAAUAGCAACUCAAUAAAAGUAUUUGAUGCAAAUUGUCCAAGAACAACUUAGUAAUUUCAUUGCUACUAUUCGGUUGUAUAUAUACAGUUAAUGAAAUUUUUAAUCAUUCGCAGUAGGAAUUUCUUUAGAUGGCGGCCAAAACUAACAGAUUUGGGGCUCUACUUCUACACAUCAUAACAGGCAAAAGGUCUCUCUUUUACACGAUCUGAAUCAUUCAAUAGGUGUCUACUUCUACACAUCAUAACAGGCAAAAGGUCUCUACUUCUACGCCCCCUGGAGUUCUCCAUUAAACUUGACGGUUGAGAUUUCAGGUCCAGAUGAAAGUUAAAUGCAGGCGACGAGACUACACUUUAAGUAAACUGGGACAAACUUAAAAUAAAAAAAACUAUAGUCCAGGGUGAGAGUGAUGGGUAGCUCAACUUAUGGAGGAUAACUAGGACUUGGAAUAACUAUCAGAUUUGCAACUCUUGUAAUAUAUAGUGGGCAUUCAGGUAGCAAUUAUCGCCUUGGGAGUUACCGUAAUCGAUUCAUUUCCUCCUUCAUUUCUGAUGGUAACCCAGCUCUAUACAAGAACAAUAAGAGAAGGUUCCUUUAAGAAAUUUCACAACCCACAAUUUUUUUUUUUCCUUUUUGCCCUGUUCCUCACAAUAAACACACCUAACACACCAAGCCGUGCCCAAAAUAAUCCUAUUUUAUUCAUGUCAUGAAUCCAAAAACUAUCCCAGCUCACUUUGUUUAACCAGCAUAACUAAAUUGUGGGUAUAAAUGAACAGACUUUCGAAGCCUGUAACUUAUAAUAAGCUCAAACCCAAAAAUGACAUUUAAAUCCUGCAAGUGUUUUUCAUCAUCCCUAACAAAAAGAAACAAGAAUAAUUAUAUACCAAUAAUUUUUCCAUAAAAAAUACUGAUUUGAGUUGAAGCACUAUACAAACUGGGUUUUAUUACACUUGCAGAAAGCUACACGGUAGACAAAAUCUAGCAGCUACAUAUUGGUAUCACUUUCAGCUGGUCAUGAAUGGUGUGCAUUCAGCAGUGCACAAUAGACCAUGUCUAUGAAUUGAUUGUCCUAUUACAUAUAAAAGCUGGUCAGAUAUACAAGGAAAAAAAUAAUAAUUGAAAAUGCAUCACAAAAAAUAAGUGUUUCGCAUUAGUGUUUGCACUCUUAAGCAUGGCAAAGUGGUGCAGGGUUCAUGAUUUUGAAGACAAUGAUAAGUGAAAAAUAGUUCAAUCCAUUGAUGAACAUAAAUUUAUUUACAUGUCAAUUUAGAUACCAUCAAAAAGUAAACAGUAAUUCACAGUCACUUAAAAUAGUUGAUAAAAUGCGUGCCAUGAAUGCAUUUUUGUACAUAAGAAAUCCAAAGAGUAUUUCUGACAAUACAAAUAUGCUAGCUUUAAGUCUGCUGUCAAUAUGCAAUUAAGAAGAUUAUACCAGCUGCAUGAUAAAGUUCCCCUAAUCUUAAUAACAAUAAACAUGAACAUGUCAGAUGCAAUUCUAGCUUCGACCAUUUGCAUAACCAGAAAUCCUAACCUGAACAAGCACCAGAAGUGCCUCUCGGACUUUCUCCUUGCUGAUAAAUGGUCCACUGUUCCAAGUAAGAGCAGGAGUAAGAGAUGGUGGAGGGAUUGGUGGUGGAAACGGUUGAAGCACUGGGGCACCAUAUGGGCGUUGUAGACUCAAGGGAGUAUUAAGUGGCAGAGCUGUUGGUGUAGAUGAAGAGACAGGCUGCAUCAUCCCCGCAGAGGAGGAUGGAGGAGGAACAAAGAAUAAGGAAGGCUUUACAAGGUUAGGGGUAGGUGCUGACAGAGGUGGAGAUGGUAUUGCAAGGUUGGCACGAUAGGAGAAGCAACACUGGCGGGAUGAGAAGGUAAAGAAAUAGUUGUAUUGGACUGGUAAGGUUGUGCAGAGAUUGCUGCAUUAGAAGUAUUCCCCACAGUCAAAGCUGUCUGCAAUGAUAAGGACAGAUGUCAUAUACAAGGACAUCAUAGAAGUUGAACCUCACACAAAAAUGAAGUGAUAACAUGUGAAAAUAGUAUAUGACUUGCUGCAUUUUUGUGGUAAUGUUGCAUACUUAUGUAGAAACAUAUUAUUUCAAAGAAAACAUACACUGAAGAAGUUCACAAAAGCAGGAUCUUCAGGAACAUCAACAGCAUUUGAGGGAGUUGACUCUAGAGGACCAUCCAUAACUGCCAUAGUUGGAACAGCUUCCAGUUCCUCAAACUCACUGCAGUUUAACAUAAAAGGAACUUGAUGACCAAUUUAAGUAAUAAUUAGAUGAUAUACGAGGUUAGGGAAAAUGAUGAGUGGACCCUUAUGGAAGGUGAUUUCACCUUAGCUAAACAGGAAAAUAAAAAGAAAUCAAAGCUGAAUCCUCGAGUGCAAUGCAAAGAAUUUUUUCUCUCUUCUCUAACUCCUCUUAUUCAAAAUUGCUCAUCAUUGUGCUGUUCUUCGAGAUUUCGCUAGAGUAGAGAAAGCUAUUCUCCCGUUAAGUGCAGAGGAAAGAGAAGGGCAAAGGCCUGGUAUGAUGCUAUUCUAUAAGAAGUGAGAAAGUGAAGGGCUAAAAUAUUUUGCAAUUUGGAGGUGGUGUUUUUCAGUGUGUGUGCUUCUGAAUUUAUUACCUCUUUAGGAUCCAUAGAAAUUGCCUCUUGUUCAGCAUGCACUGUGCCUACGAGUAAGGCGAGCUUGCAUGGUAUCUAUUGUCUAUUUAUUUGGAUAUUCAAACAGGACUACCAGCAACCAAACACAAAUCCCCAAACAAAACACUCUUUCAAGUGCAAGGAAAGAGUAACUUGGGCAUAUUUAUGGUUCAAGCACUACCAUAACUAAGAAUGUGAUGCUGUCCACAAACACUAUAUCAGUGCCUUUUGAACUACAUCACAUGCUCGAAGACUUUUUUUUUAGUCAUACAUAAAUUAGCUAUAAAAUUAAGACUAUUAUACAACUAAAAAGAAAGAAAAAUUGUUUGCUACUACAUAUCAAAACUGGUAAUAGCAAUGUAAGAUGGCAGACUUCUUACUUAAACAGAUGAGAGGCUGCAAAUAAAAAAUUUGUGCAAAUAAAAUAUAUGAUAAAGAGCAUAAUACUUUCUUGGGGGCUAAAAAUAAUAUACAACUUGUGAAAUAUAAAUUGAGCUACCAUUACCUUUUAGAUGUAGCAACUUUCGACUUUUGAGGCACCUUGGAAUAUGCAUUCAGAAUCCUGCAUUUGGAAGCCAAAUAAAUAAUGUCAACAACAAUUUUACAAUAGAAAAAUUAAAAAUUGAUAAAUGGCAGUUGUAAUUUAUGUAUGUGUAAAGAUAGCAUCACAUCCAGGGUCCUCCCAUAAACAUGCUUGUAACAAGAAUUAGUUUGCCUCAACUGCUAGCAACUAUACAAUAGUAAAAAUCACUCUUAUGAACUCAACAAUACUAGGCACCAAUAAGAGUAUGAUACCGCCAUUCUAAAUGGAAGAGAAUACAACUGUUUUACAACUAUGUCACAUCAGGAGAUAUGCUAGGAGGAUUAAUCCAGAUACCAUCCAACCCAAUUUGGAAAACUCGAGUCAGAAACCAGGAGCUGUAACCAAACCUUACAAUCUUGAAGGAAGAAGGAGACUUGGGGCAUUUUUCCAGAUAGGUGACUUACAAGAUCUCCUGCCAAGAAAAUAUCUAUUGCUUUGAACCUCCAUUGAAAUUUCUUUUCCCUUUUUCUUGUUUUGACUUGGAACUUUCCAGCAUCAUCUAUUUGAUCUUUUUUAAAGCUAAAAUAGCAAUCUAUGGGUUGUCAACAUCUUAUCCCCCCCCCCCCCCCCCUCGGGGGGGCCCCCAAAAAAAAAAAACCAAUGAGUUGUCAAUAAAUAGCACCUACUCAACUUAUGUUCUCCAAUGGAUGACAAUGUGCAAAUCGACCUAGCAGCCACAUUUUUCCCCCCUUUCAACCACCAUUAGGCAACUUUUCUAACCUUUCUUCAUUGCCCACGUCUACAGAACUAUCAUAUAAAGACUACAUUAUUAUUGGGAUAGAGAAUAAAAUACAGACUAUAUUAUUAUUAUAUCUAAUUUUAUGAAUUAACUAGUGCAAGACUUAUUUAGUGUCAAAUCAAGAACUAAUUAGAAAAGACAACUCAUGAUAAUACAGACCUUAAAAGGCAAUAGCUAGCAACACCCCAUAUACUCCUAUUUUAGCCUUCAAUAUCCUGGUAAAAACACAAUUAAGUCUUGCAAAAGAACAUUCACAAGUAAAUUCAACAUUAAUUAAGAUUAAGUAUCUACUGCACCUUCAAUCAAUGACUGGGUGAAUAGCAUGGUCAACCAUCCAGUUCCUGUAGCCCUCCUUGUACCUAUGUUAGUUACAUUUUACAUAUUAAGCCACGAAAAUGAAGGGUCACAGCCUGGUAAAGAAAGCCAUUAAUUAAUAGUUUUUGUUUAAAAAGUUCUCGUUUAGAUCUUUCCUAUUCAAUGAAUCAACGUAAUCCAUGGAGAACUCUUCCAUUUCAAGCAUUGUUUGAAGAUAAUUGGAAAGCCUAAAGAUAGUAUACAAGGACCAAGAUAUCAAUUAGGUCAAAUAGUGAAUGUCAAAUAUAAAAAAUAAAUAAAAGAAGUUGUACAUGAUCAUUUACUAUCAAGUUCUGUAAAAUUGAAAAUACCAUUAUCCCUGUAGAGAUUCUCAAACAACUCUUUAGCAAAUUAUAAAAUAGUUAAAAAAAGAACGAAAGUUUAAAAAAAAAUGUACAACAGCCAUAUCAGGAGAUGUUUUUCUUCUCAAUCUCAAUAUUUUCUAGCCGUAAAACAAUUGAAAAGCUUAACACCAAGUGAAUUAUUAAGAAUUCAUCAUUUAAAUUCCCAAAUCGCAAAAUGUUGGUGCAACUAGGAAAGUGCAAAUGCAAUCACUUUACUAACACAAGAAACAUCAAUAGUGAGAAGCCCACUUUGUAUCAAAUUUGAAACAGAUAGAUAGAGGUCAAAAAAAUUAUAAAGAAACUCAAUUAAAAGCCUUUCAAACAGCUUUUGCAUGCAACAAGAACAAAUCAAAGGCGAUGUGAAUGUAUUCAAAGACUAAUUUACAAUCAUCUACAGGACAUAAAUAUCUUGGAUAACUACUCUCUAUACCUUACUGUCCCACUGAAAAUCAUCAAAUCCCUCCAAACAAAAAUGACAAAAUGGAUAAGAAUUGUCUGGUUAAACUUCAAUAACUUAGCAGCCACAGCAAAAACUUAUGUAGGCACGCAAGCCACUCAAAAUAGUCAUAUUGUUUGCUUUCCAAACAAAAGCCACUUUGUAAUGAAUAUUCAUAAAUUGCUACUACCAUGUUUGUUAAAGCACGUGAAAACCACCAUAACUAACUAAAUGUAACUGAUGAUCAUCAUCAAGUUCAUGGAAUCACAUAUCUGACAGUAUUAAUUAGUGCAAAUGGCAUGCUUCUUAAAACUCCGUAUUUCUCACAUGGGCGCCAUUCCAAUCAACCAAUGAUUCUGAUCUAGUCGGCAUAUUCAACCCACGAGCGAGUAAUACCUCCUAUUGCUUCUUUACAUUUCUCAACGAAAUUCCACAUUCUAACCAUACUUCUGAACUUGUAGCUCCCAUAGACUAAUACAAUAAAAAGAUUUCUUCCCACACCACCUCAGCCCCCACUCCUGAAAAACCAAUUUAAAUUCUCAUUGGCUGUACAACCUAUAGUCCAUACCAAAUUGAAAAAUUUACAAAUAUAGAACCUCAAAGAAUCUUCUUGCAUUCCAUUUUUUACGGCAAGAAAUUUGACUUUUACCACAUGCAAGUCAACAAAUAAAAAAAUCAUGUCUUUGUGAGAUGCACAUUUUCAGACGAAUCUGAAGAGCAAUGAAACCGUAAAAACCGAAUAUGAGAACACCGAGGACUCCAGAUAUCACCUAUAGAAUCUUCGGUCCACACUUGCAUGAUGAAAAUGAUGAAAAAAAAUUGAAGGCUUCGUCACCAGCUCCCCAGGUUGUUUUGUUCUCCUAUCUCCUAAACAUAAAGGAAAUGCAACCUGUUCUUUUUUCCAAUCUUAAGGGGCACAGAACGACUCUGGUAUAAAAUAGUCAGUUUCUAUACAAAAAUAACUCCUUUGCACUUGGCAUUCCACAUCUCGAAAUAAAAAGCAUGCAAGGAGGAGAAUAUAAUAGCAUUAAACAAGUUUUAUUAACCAAACUUCAAAGAUGCCAGGCAAGGCAAAAAAGAAAUCUGUACAAGCCAGAUCCCAAGAAUAAUAAUUCCAAUAUACAAUUCACAAAAACAAUAACUAAAAACAUGUUCAUGAGGCCUCAGCAGAAGCAACAUGUAAUAACCAUACUCUAUUAUUUGAAACACAUUUCCAAGUUUGGUUAAGAUUCUAAACUAUUCUCUAUGUGUCAAUUAUUAACAUGUAAAACAAAAUAAUAUACACUUAAACUACUACAGUAGUAAAACCAGUAAAACAACAAUACCUGCUAAAAAGAUUUGCUACCUCUUCACAUUCACGAGCAUUGUAGAACCAAAUCCCAUUUACUUCUUGGGAUGCAUUCCGAUAUAACAAAUACGGAACCUGAACUUCAAACUCAAAAUCUCCCAAAGGAUUUUCCACUAAAUUAUCUGCACAUAUCCAAGAUAUUGAAGCUUAUCAGUGCAAAAACAUAUGCAAAAAGACAUGAAGGUUAGGAGACAUAACUAAAACUUAGCAACAACUGAAAAGCACAACAAGAAAUGAAAUAUAACAUGAGUUGUAAACAAGAUAGACACGCGGUAUCUAAAUAAUUGUACCAACCCCCUCUCCUGAUUGUCAUAAAACAGCCAAUAUUUAACGCUAGACAACAACAUUGCAAAUACUCUAGCCUCUAUAUUAUUGGCAUAUAAAUAUUUUCGGUUAGGUACAUUAUAUUCUUCGUUCUAAAACCUCAAUUAUUAGCUAGUAGCCUAGUACUGUGAUAAAAUGAUUCAUCACUGAAAUUAAAACUAGUUCACGUACAAAUAAUCAAAACUGAAAUAGAAGCAACGAUAAACCAACCUGUAUUACGUCGAUUCAUCACAACAAACUGAAAUCGAGGCUGUGUGUUCUUGAAAAUUGAAAAAAUAAUAAUUUCACCAACUUCAUAUGUAAUACAAUCUCCAAAAAACCGAAUAUCAAAUGAAAAAAUGGAAAGCAUAAGAGAGAAAAGAAUCUAAUUUUAUUGACCUUUUGACGACGAAGAGAGAUCCUUCAACAUCCUUAUGACUCCAUUGGCUGAGGUCGAUGUUGAACUCGUAGAAGGUGACAUGAGCGGCCGUGAUGAGGAUCUCCUCAAUGAAUGGAUCGAUUCGCUGAAGAACUGUCAGGUUUAGGAGUUUUGUGCUCUGCUGGUCCAGAUUAGCCAUUAAUUUUCCGUUCUGCGACAUUUUUCAUAGUCCUUUUGGGCUCUGCCUCGAGCACAAGCGCCAUGGUUUUUCUGUGAGCUCUCUCUUUUGUAAAUAAAGUGUUUGAUGAGAUAGCCGAGAGAGAGUGAAAGAGUUGAGACUCGAGAUUGAUCUUGCUUUAACUUCUUUCAAACAUUUGGGAAAUAGCAUUUAUUUCUUUCAAAUUCUCUACUUUUUUUUCCUUUAUGUUAUUUAGACCCCAAAAUUAGAUUUAUUAUAAUCAUAUUUUACCCGUACACUAUUAAUCCCUUUUAUUUUAAAUUGUCAAUAUUAAUGUUUCAAUCAUAACUAAUGUGAUAACUCAUCGGUAACUGUAACAUUAACUUAAUUAUUAAUGUUUAUCAUGAAAUGAUGAGAUUAUUAUUCAAAACUUAGUAAACAUCAAUGACUAAUAUAAUAUGACAAUUACAGCUGAAUAUUAGUACAAUAAUUAGGAUUCCUAAAGUUAGUGAAUGUAUUAUAAUAUAUGUGUGUUACACUAUUUUAUGUCUCUCAAAUUCAAUUAAGUAAUUUCAGAGACCUAACCUUUUAUUACAUUAAAUUAAGAAUGUAUACAUGAAUGAAAGAUGUGCAGUUUUUGUUCUAUUUUUCACUAUUAUUUGCCAUUCAUCUACGUACGUCACUUGAUUUUUUGUGAUUAAUAUGCUUAAAUGGAUCUCUUUGAUAUAAAUAAAAUAAACGAAAAGUCUAAGAGAAAAAAAAAAUGAGGACCGAAAUUAUUACACCUACAACAAAUUUGCCCAGAGAGCAAUAAAUCAAACUUGCUUAGGAAGUUCAACAAUGAUUAGUUAAUAACUAAAAGAGCCUUCACCUAACAUGUUAAAGCUUCCGUCAAGCACAAACCCAUUGAAAGCUGUUUAGGUCCGUUUUAGAUCAUCGGAAAUUUGACAAAAUCAUAAAAACCCUCAUCUUAGAAAUUCCAAGCAUCAGGCAAUAGUCCUACUUUAUUGAUAUUGAGAGUUACACAAUAAAAGUUUCGUACAAAUUUUGCAAACGAAAAGCACAUAAUACACUUAACUAGGAGGGAAAAUUAAAGUGUAUAUAUUACAAACUGCUAACAAUAUACAGUAGUAAAAAUCACUCUUAUGAACUCACAAAUACUAGGCACCAAUAAGAGUGUGAUGCAGCCAUUCUAAAUGAAAGAGAAUACAAUUGUUUUACAACUAUGUCACAUCAGGAGAUAUGUUAGCAGGAUUAAUCCAGAUACCUUCGAACCCAAUUAACCAACUCGAGUCAGAAAUAUCUAUUGCUUUGAACCUCCAUUGAAAUAUCUUUUUCCCUUUUUCUUGUUUUGACUUGGAACUUUCCAGCAUCAUCUAUUUGAUCUUUUUUGAAGGUAAAAUAGCAAUCUAUAGGUUGCCAACAUGUUAUUCUGCCAAACCCCACCCCACCCCCUCCCGGGGGACAACAAAUAAUGCCUACUCAAAUUAUGUUUUCCAAUGGACGACAAUAUGCAAAUCGACCUAGUAGCCACAUUUUUCCCCCUUUCAACCACCGUUAGGCAACUUUUCUAACCUUCCUUCAUUGCCCACACCUACAGAACUAUAAUAAAAAGACUACAUUAUUAUUGGGGUAGAGAAAAUAUGCAGACUAUAUUAUUAUUACAUCACAUUUUACUAAUUAACUAGUGCACGACUUAUUUAGUGUCAAAUCAAGAACUAAUUAGAAAAGACAACUCUUGAUAAUACAGACCUUAACAAGCAAUAGCUAACAACAUCCCAUAUACUCUUAUUUUAGCCUUCACUAUCCUAGUAAAAACACAAAUAAGUCUUGCAAACGAACUUUUAUAAGUAAAUUCAACAUUAAUUAAGAUUAGGUAUCUACUGCACCUUCAAUCAAUGACUGGGUGAAUAGCAUGGUCAACCAUCUAGUUCCUGUAGCCUUCCAUGUACCUAUGUUAGUUACAUUUUAUAUAUUAAGCCAUGAAAAUGAAGAACUCUUCCAUUUCAAACAGUGUUAGAAGAUAUUUGCAAAGCCUAAAGAUAACAUACGAGGACCAAGAUAUACACAGAUAGUUUCUUUACGGGACUAAAGAGCUUUUUUAGAUGUUAAAACUGUUUCAAACUGUUUUUCUUGUUUGGUUUAACUAAGGAAGAGCUUGUGGAAGAUUAAAAAUGAUGUUUCCUGUUCUCUGUAGGAAGCUUUUAGGAGAUUUUUUGGGUUUUUUUGAAAGGUUGAAUUGUCAAAAAUACCUUGAUGUUAUUGUUUGCUAAAAGAUGUUAUGGACAACUAAACAACCAACAACAUUUUGUUAAAAGCUCUACUCGUGUAGGAUCUACUUAAAGAAUCUAUACCAAACAGAUUCUUAGACUAAUAACUCGAUCUUAAGUUUGUAAAAUUGGGCUCAGAAUCUCCACUAAGAACCCCGCUUCGGUGAGAAAGCCCAAGCCUGUUACUUUGUAUAAGCUUAUUCUGUAUGUUUGAUUGCAGGAACUGGCCGAUCAUACCGACGAGGUGAGUGUGCAACAUGAGGUGCUUGACGGGAUGUUUACUUUCUAUGAUACAACUAAAGCUAGCCUCAACAUAUAUCAGGUGCCUGCUUGUUUUUACCUUCUAGAUACUAAUAUUGUUUAGACGUGUAAUCUCUCUCUCCAUUGAACGCUAGACGGCUCGUCUCAAGCCUUCUACGUACAUCAGAGUCCUUCUUUAGCUUUUUAUGUAUAAAGUUUUGAUCUUUUUCCUUCAUUUGCUUGAAGCUCAUUACUGCAGAUUUUUUUUACAGGUUGCUAGUGUAACAUUCGACUUGCUGUUGCUUCUAGUGUUGGGAUCGUAUUUAAUUGUGCUUUUCAGCUUUCUUGUCACAACAACUUGGGUAUUACUCUUUCUCCAUAUCAAGCUUGAAGUUCUAAAUUUCAGUUUUAUCUUGUAUUUGAUGUUUUACAGGUUGCUGGAAAUGUGUUUGGUUAAUCAGAAAGAGAGCAAGAAAAUGAAAGAAAUCUAUUUCACUUUUUAUUUAUCAGCAUGAUUACAUUCACAAUGAAUCUAAGCUGCUAUUUAUACUUAAAUGACUACACACGAGAAUCUUCUUGCUAGAUAUUUCUAGAAACUCUACACGCACACUCGCACUGAGCUAGUGGUUACUAAAACCGUUACAACGAUAUUGCCAGCUCAGCAUAACCAACUUAUAACUAACACACUCAGCUGCAGGGGAAACCAUCAAGCUUACUGUGCAUCCUCUGUAAUCAAGCUUCUUUAAGCAUGCUCUGCAGAUCAUACGUCUGAAUUAUCGAAACAAGAUGAAUUAUUUUUUGUUUAUUUCAGCAGGCGAUCUAUGAGCGGAAUUUCUUGCAACAAAAGAUGUGUGUCCACCGGCUUGUAUUCAAUUCGCGAUGGAAUAAGAUCCCUUCAGCUUAUGAGAACUUCAAAUCAACUUAGGUCAUAUUUACACAAGGGCGCACAUGAUAUUAAUCUAAUGGCAAUUAUAUCAUCUAAAAUCCAAAACGAAGAGUCUCCCAUUUUCUUGUUCUCUACUCUGUUCAUAUUAUCAUAAAUUGACGAUUGCAAGGCAGCCGCAGAAAGGGAAUCGGCUUUUGGAAUAGGCGGCAUUUUUUUCAUAUGAAACAUAAAACAAUUUAAUAUCAAUUUUCUUCAGGAGACUGAGCAGAUUGUCUCGCAAGUGGCGCAUCGGUAUUGUAACGUCUGCUGGGUCUUACAUUAUCCACAAAAAUAACUCGUCCAUCUAGUAACUGCAAGUACAUACUUUGAGAUGCUUAAACUCAACAAUAUAAGCAUGGUAAAUUAGAGAAAAAUGAUGCAACUUUACCUUCCCAUUCAUGUCUGCCAAGGCUUUUUGGGCUUCCUCUUCUGUACUGAAAGUCACAUACCCGUAACCUUUUGAUCUAUUCUUACCUUUAUCCAUUAUUAUUGUAGCUGCAAAAAGAAAAGAAUCGGAUAUUAGAAAAUAGUGAAGAGGGAACAGGGGUUGAGACUUAAAAUAGAAAUAGACCAAAUCCUCAGUGACUUGGCCAAACUGUGAAAAAGCAUCAGCUAACAUCUCUUUAGUGGUUGAGAAAGAUACGCCUGCAAAGGAUGCCAGUUAAUUUUAUCAUAAUUAGAUGGUAAGAUUGCAAAUUCUGCAGCCAAAGGUAGUACGGAACUGAAUGAAGGAAAUCAAAUAUGAAUAUGUUUUCAAUCUCAAAAUAUUAAGAGUUACAAGUUCAAGGGAAUCAGAUGAUGGCAUGGUUGAAUUUUAUAAAUAUUUGAUAUUUUGGACCGAACAGGGCAAACAGAUGGAUCCAGAUAAUCAAGAAAAACAUCAAUUCCAUGCAACCAAAUUAGUGUGGGCAAUGCAAUUGAGCAACACUAUAAAAUUAUUCAAAGAAAUCUCUAGGUCAGUAUCCAAAUAUAUGGCUCCGUCCGUUCCACCACCACAACCAAAAAAAUCAGAUCCCCCCAUUUGGAUUCGAUUGAUUAAUUUGAGCAUAUAAAAUCGGGUUUUAAACUUCCCUAAUCAAAAUUUAUAUUCCACAGAAUCAGUUCCUUUAACAUGAUGCAUGACAUAAUAUUUUGUUUGCAAAAUAAAGAAGAAAGAUGACAUAAUAGAAACACUCACAGAGAGAGAAUACCUUCGACGAAAAGCUUCGAAGUGAAUCCUCUGUAAAAUACGAGUUGAGCUGCUGAAUUUUUCAAGUUUGAAUGAGAGACUGCGCCGUUUCUGAAAAUGUUUUUUUCUCAUUAGCGCCGCCAUUUUUGUAAUAGAGGGUAAAGAAAUAAGUAACAAAGUAAGAGGUGAGCAGAAGCGGCCCAAUUUAGUUAUAUGCCAUGUAUGCGAUCAAAAUUGAAUGGUUAAAUGGCAGCCACUGUGUUACAUCUUGUGUACGUAACAAACCGCCUACAUGGGAUCAUUGGAUUCGGGAAUAUGAAAUCCAAUGGAUAAUAUUGAAUUUAACGAAAAAUAGAUUACAGGUUGCAUUAGUCCAAGUUUAUUUCAAACAAACCAGCUGAUGAAAUAGCCGCUAAUCAAAUUUAAAAGGGAAAAAAAAAUCAAAUUAUAGGUUAUAGAUCUUAUUUCCAUCUUAAAUCUGUCUUUCAUGGUGACUCAAUGUGUAUACUAAUUUAUAAUUUGGAUCUAUAUUAGAGCUAAUGCUUCCCUAAAUAUCUAAUGAAAAUUUUCUUUUCAUUUAAUAAUAAAGAAAACUUGCAUUAAAACUAAAAGUACGGUAAUACCUGAUUUAUAAAUAGAUUGCAAUGUAAUUUUGAUAAAUAAAACAAUAAUUUAUGAAAUGGUUAUAACAUAAUUUUAAUUUUUUUUUCAAAAAGGAAAAACAACAAAAGUAAGAAAUAGAGAAUGAGGGCUACAAACUUUGUAUCUUAAACGGCCGUUAGAUUAUUUGUAAAUGAAAGCAACGGUGAGAUAUUGGUGGCUUAUGGAAACAGGUAAUCAUAAGGACUAUGAGUUUUUUUUUUUUUGUUGUUGUUACAUUGAUAUAUUACAAUCAUGAUUCUAUUAAUAUUUACAAUCAGAAUUUUAUCUGACUAUCUUUCAUAAUUCUAAACUAGUACAGCCUAAAUUCCUAUUCUCAUAUAAUAUCAAAGAGAGAUAUAUAUUAUUUUCCUCUAUUAACGAAGAGAUAUUUUUACUUCUAUCAAAUUUAACUAGAACGAGAAUUAAGUCAUUUUCAAUAGUCAGGACUCAGAACUCAUACACGCUAGUUUGAAAGUGUGGGGUGUGACAAUGAGCCAAGAGACCAUUGACAAGUACAAAAGAGUAGUUGCAAUUAAUUCAAACCGCUACACACGCUAUUGCAACCAAAUCGAGGGCCCUUUUUUGUUUGUUUCAUUGAAAAGUAGUUUGCACAAUUAAUUCAAACCGCUACACACACUAUUGCAUCUUUUGAAAAAGAAAAAUGGAAUAGUUUUCCAAGAUUAAUUCAGAGAAUAAGAUUUAAUAAUAAUGAUGUUAGAAAUCUUGAUAUUUGAAUCUUAAUAUUAUGUAUCAUUGAUUUAUUAAAUAAUAGAUUUCAUAGUUUCUAAAAGUAUUUAACCACUUGAUAAAUGUUAUAUUUGUUGGGACUAAAUUAGGACUUAAAUGUUGGAAUAUCUAACAUUGCAUAAAUAAAUAAAAACUUAAUAAUUUAUCUUCACACGACUAAUUAUUUUUACAUCACAACUAACCUUAAUUAUUUUUAAAGUAACAAUAUUAUUAAAUUGCGCUGACUAGUUAUCAAAAGAUGAAAGCAUGUUAAAAUAAGAAAGUACUAAGAAACAUGUGCUUAAACAAAGGUUAAGGCUACGAACAAUUAAGAAGAAACAACUUACAAUCAAAGGUUAAGAUUAUGAACAAUUUAAGGAAGGUAUUGAGCAGAGAAAGGGACGGAAUGGUUUUCUGAAUUGCCGGUGACAAGAAUGUUUGUGUUGUGAAAAGAAAUCCAAUGGUUUGUAAAUGGGUUGAAUUUUUCGCUCGCUUCAAUGACUUGCUUAUGCCCAAUAAAUUACUUUGCACAAUAGUAUUUGGGAUCCUAACAAUCAACUCUUAAUUUGGUCCCAAUAUAUUACUUUAUGAAUGCUUGUGUUGUUUUUUUUUAUAUAAAAUAAUUUAUUUAACUAAUCAUAGAAAUAAGAGAGAAAAGGGGGCAUUUGUUGACUCAAAGUCAAUUACAAAUACAUAACUCUUUCACGCGUUCAUGAAUUUCCAUGAAAGAGAGUGCCUCUCGUCUCUUUCCGGACAGUGACUCCAAUUAUGUUAACGUGACAAAUACAUAACGCUAUUACAUACAAGAAUAAGUUUUUGGAGCCGAGACUUGAGGGAGGUUCUAUCUAAUUCUAAAGGUUGUAACCAAAUCAUUAUCCCCAAUUUUUUUCAGUUAAAUAAAAUAAAAUUUAUGCUUAAGUAUAAAUAAUUUUUUUAAGUUAAAUAUAAAAUAAAAUUCAUGAACUUCCUAGAAAGAAAGAAAACCCUUCACCUUCUUCGUGACAACAAAUGAUGUUGAUAUGACAAAUACAAGCGCUAUUACAGGGAACAGCAUAAGACCGAGACUUGAUAAAUAUUAAAUAUAUAUUAUAAGUGGAGCAAACGAACAGAAUAAUAGAUAUUUUAUAAUACUCUUCAUAAAAAUCCAAGUUUUGAGCUGGCCUAUAAGCUUAUCUAGUGAAGUCUGGGUAUCCGCGUUGCCCAAGGUUCCGUUUGAAUCCAGGCCGUGUAGAUGUUUAAGACAUCGCAUAUGGACGGAGUGGAAAUAUUUUCAGUUGACUGAAUUAAAUAAAAAUAUAUUACAAUCAUAUUAUAUAUUAGCAGCAAAAAUAAAAAGAAAUGAAGAAAAACGCAUGCAAGACUUAGACAAGUCAAUUAAAAGCUGGGAGUAUCAUCAGUUCAAUUGAUUAUAAAUAGCGUAGAGCCAUCCUCUCGUUGUUGCAGAACUGAAGCAAAGAGACUCAGAAAGAGUGUGUGUAGGUGAUUAUAAUUAAGAAGAUAUAAUGUGUGGUUCAAAAAGAGUGUGGGUGAGUGAGUUAAUUUUCAUAUUAUUAGUAGUAAAAGGGUGGUGGAGUGAGGGAUGUUUGGAGCAAGAGAGGUCUGCUCUCCUCCAACUCAAACAUUUCUUCAAUGAUGAUCACUGUCUUCAAAACUGGGUAGACGAUGAGAAUUAUUCAGAUUGUUGUCAGUGGGAAGGGGUUGAGUGCAACGACACCACUGGCAGAGUGAUUGAAUUAGAUCUAGCACUAACUCGGAAUUGGGAAUCAGCAGAGUGGUAUAUGAAUGCCUCUCUGUUUACUCCCUUUCAACAAUUAGAGUCUCUUGAUUUAAGUUUGAACAAUAUAGCCGGUUGUGUUGAAAAUGAAGGUCCUUAAUUUACUCUAUUUUAAUUUUUCCUCCUCGUAAUUUCUUACAUCUAUCUGAUCCCUUUUGGCUUUUGUGUUAAUUUGCACGUGAUACAAUAAAAUUAUUUUUUAUUUUUUAUUUUUUAUUUUUUGGCAGGUCUGGAUAAGUUAUCAAGGUUGAACAACUUGAAGUUUCUUCAUUUAGACAUUAACCACUUCAACAACAGCAUCUUUUCGUCUCUAGGUGGUCUUUCAUCACUCAGAAACUUAUCAUUGGCUGGUAAUGAAUUGGAUGGAAGUAUUGAUAUUAAAAGUAAGUACGCUUCAACCCUUCUCCCCUGUCCCAUCUUUUGUGGAUCUUAUUUCACUGAGCAGCUGGAAGUAUUGAUACGAGAUCUAGCUAGACUCUUGUGAGUUUAGGCUUCAAGGCUUUGAAUAUUAUAAAAAUAGGAUUAAGAAAUUAUCAAUACAUAAUGUUAUUACAUACAAUAAUAGUUCUAAAGAUUGUAACAAAAUCAUUAUCCCCAAUUUUUUUAGUUAAAUAAAAUAAAAUUCAUGCUUAAGUAUAAAUAAUAUUUUGGACAUUCUUGAUAUUUGUCCUUUUAAGAUAAACAGCAACCCAAUUAUCUAUUUGUUUGUCUGUUUAUUUUUUUUAAUAACAGUUUGUUAGCAUAAAUAUUUACCUGUGAAGUCGAGGAGGAGAAAAUGUUAGAAAAAAUAAAAAGAAAAAAAAAUUAAGGGGGAUAGAAUCAGAUUUUCUUUUUUGAGCAAAGAACAUACGUAAAAAGAUAUUAAAUCUAUUAAGUCUAAUUGUCUAUAACGGCAAAUUGCAUAACGAAUAAUUUAUCAGUGUAAAAUAAAUUUUAUUAGAUUCUGAUUAUUUGUUUGAUUUCUUUUCUCUCUGGACUCAACUUAUAUUGUUUAUUUGAUUUGAUUUUAUUAUUUUUUAAAGAAACUUAUUGUUUAUCAAUACUGAAUGGCUUAAGAUUGAUGUCUUGAUAAUAGAUGGGGCAAUAUUGCAUUUUUAAUGCAGUAGACUUUGAAGUUAUCAUUGACAAGCUUAGAUGAAUUACUAGGACCAUAAUACAAAUGUCACAGGCAUCUAAGGCACUUACCAAGUUUUGAGUACAUUCCUGUUCCUAUCUAAUAGUUUUUAAUUUCUUUAAUUUAAGACCCCAUUCAUUAAUAUUUUCUUUAUUGUGAAGUUAAUUUUUUUAUUUGAAAUUAAUUUUUUUUAAAAAAAAAUUUGUUGACUUAUAGUUUACCUUUGUGUUAAAUGUUGGCAAAAUUAUUUUGUCCAAACCAUUGUUUUUGUCCUGAACGUCCAACUAAAAACUGAAUCAAGGGUUAAGUUGUAAGGUUUCAGUUCGUCCGUUAUAUUAAUUUAUUGUUUUAAUAUUAUGCAGUACAAAUAGGUGUAUAAGUCCAUCAUUUAAAUACAAAAUGAAACCACAUCAAUAUAGAAAUUAAAAGAAAAUGAAUUCUCACAACCAUACGGUGAGAUUCAAACUCUCUAUCUCCGAGGAUUUCUUAAAGUUAUUCUUAAAUUAUACUUAAAUGGUUAAAUUUAAUAAAUAAAGGUUUAAUUCUUUUCUCGCACAUUGUAGAAGCAAAUUUUCUCCUCUGUUGAAAAUUCUAAAUAUUUUUUUAAAUUAGGUUUCAACUAUGACAUAUCAGGAGAGAUUUGAUACAUUUCUAAUGCAACUGAUAUAACAACACAACUUUGUGAUUUUUACUAUUCAGGAGAAAAAGAACACAACCUGUAUAACCCAACCGUUUAUAUACAAACAUCGAAUCGCUUUUUAAAAUUAAAUUGGGAAAAUUGGGGAUAUAAUAGUUUUUCAUAUAUAUACAUUUUUUCCUUACAAAUUUAAAUUCAUGGUUGUCAUGAGCUAAAUAUACCUGCUUAAAGCCACUCAGUCGAACCCUUUGAGAGCUGCUUUAAAUUUUUCGGAUUAGCCAUAUUCUUUUCACUGAGAUUUAACAUAAAAAAAAGGAGAAAAUAAGUUAUUUAAUUAACUCUAUUUUAAGUGUUGGCAUAAAUACAGGACUCGAUUCCUUGAGUAACUUGGAGAUGCUGGACAUGAGCGACAAUGCAAUCGACAAUCUAGUGGUUCCUAAAGGUAUACAAAAUGUUCAAAUAUUAAUAAUUUGGAGGACAAUUUAAUUGAUUUGAUAAGGGAAUGCCCAAUGACACUUACCCAAAAUAAUUUAAUCCGAAAUUGUAUCUCAAAUAGAUUACAGAGGUUUGAGGAAGUUGAAUACCCCUUUUUUGGGGGGGGGGGGGGGGGGAGAGGGAGGCAGUGAUAUAUGGAAGCAAGGUGUUGCAAUCAAUAAAAAAAAUUUGUUGGUCAAUAUUCAAGGACUCAUCCAAAGUAAUCGUUAAAGUCUAGAGGUCUGCCCUCCACCAACUCAAACAUUUCUUCAAUGAUGAUCAACGUCUUCAAAACUAGGUAGACGCGGGAGAUGAUGAGAAUAAUUUAGAUUGUUGUCAGUGGGAAGGGAUUGAGUGCAACAACACCACUGGCAGAGUGAUUAAAUUAGAUCUAGCACAAACUCGAAAAUGGGAAUCAGCGAAGUGGUAUAUGAAUGCCUCUCUGUUUACUCCCUUUCAACAAUUAGAGUCUCUUGAUCUAAUUGGGAACAAUAUAGCUGAUUGUGUUAAAAACGAAGGUCAUUAAUUUACUCUAUUUUAAUUCUUCCUCCUCGUAAUUUCUUACAUCUAUCUGAUCCCUUUUGGCUUUUGUUUAAUUUGUACGUGAUACAAUAAAAUUAUUUUUUUUCAGGUCUGGAGAGGUUAUCAAAGUUGAACAACUUGAAGUUUCUUGAUUUAGGCUUUAACCACUUCAACAACAGCAUCUUUUCAUCCCUAGGUGGUCUUUCAUCACUCAGACAAUUAUCAUUGGCUGCUAAUCGAUUGAAUGGAAGUAUUGAUAUUAAAGGUAAGCAAGCUUCAUCCUUUCUUCCGUGUCCCAUCUUUGUGGAUCUUAUUUCAUCAACCAGCUGGAAGUAUUGAUACGAGAUCUAGCUAGACUCUUGCUAGUGCAAGCUUCAAGGCUUUGAAUAUUAUAAAAAUAGGUUUAAGAAAUUAUCAAUAUAUGCAAUUUUCUAUGCUUCUCAUAAUCAGACACAAUUCAAUCUAAUUAUUUCGUUUGUCCUGUCUUCAAAAGUAAAGAAUUGUACACUAAACGGAAAUCGACAUCGUAGCUUUUUAUUUUUUCUAAUGCUCUUUCUUUGUUAACGAGUUUAUAUCCUGAGAGUGGAUUGGAUUAAAAAAAAAAAAAAAGUUUUGAUGUUCAAGGUAAGCCAUAAUAACAUGCAUCUUAUUUAUCUGCCUAUAUCUAAAUUUGUGCACUGAAUUUAGUAUUUUGGUUAGUGUGAAGGGAUCAGAUAUUGGCUUCCAUAAACCAACUUGUAUUUACUUAAUUAAUUAAUUAACACCAUUUAGUAUUUAACAAAUUAAAAUUUCGUGUUUAAUUUGUCUUUUUUUUUUUUUUUUGAAACAAGAAUAAGGUAUAGCAGUAGGUAAAGUUGAAAUAAAUUUUUAUUCCUUACAAAUUUAAAUUCGCUGUUGUCAGCCAAAUAUACCUACUUAAAACCACUCAAUCAGGCCCUUGGCAACUGUUUUUUUAAGGUUUUUCUGGUUAGCCGUAUUCUUUUCUUAUUAAUAAAAUUCUUUUCGCUGAGAUUUAAGAUAAAAAUAAAAAAGAGAAAAUAAGUUAUUUAAUUAACUUUGUUUUAAGUGUUGGAAUAAAUACAGGACUGGAAUCCUUGAGUAACUUAGAGGAGCUGGACAUGAGCGGCAAUGCAAUCGACAAUCUAGUGGUUCCUAAAGGUAUACAAAAUGUUCAAAUAUUAAUAAUUUGGAGGACAGUUUAAUUGAUUUGAUUAGGGAAUGCCCAAUGACACUUACCCAAAAUAAUUUAAUCUGAAAUUGUAUCUCAAAUAGAUUACAGUGGUUUGAGGAAGUUGAAUACCCUUUAUUUGGGGGGGGGGGGGGGGGAGAGGGAGGCAGUGAUAUAUGGAAGCAAGGUGUUGCAAUCAAUAAAAAAAAUUUGUUGGUCAAUAUUCAAGGACUCAUCCAAAGUAAUCGUUAAAGUCUAGAGGUCUGCUCUCCACCAACUCAAACAUUUCUUCAAUGACGAUCAACGUCUUCAAAACUAGGUAGACGCGGGAGAUGAUGAGAAUAAUUUAGAUUGUUGUCAGUGGGAAGGGAUUGAGUGCAACAACACCACUGGCAGAGUGAUUAAAUUAGAUCUAGCACAAACUCGAAAAUGGGAAUCAGCGAAGUGGUAUAUGAAUGCCUCUCUGUUUACUCCCUUUCAACAAUUAGAGUCUCUUGAUCUAAUUGGGAACAAUAUAGCUGAUUGUGUUAAAAACGAAGGUCAUUAAUUUACUCUAUUUUAAUUCUUCCUCCUCGUAAUUUCUUACAUCUAUCUGAUCCCUUUUGGCUUUUGUUUAAUUUGUACGUGAUACAAUAAAAUUAUUUUUUUUCAGGUCUGGAGAGGUUAUCAAAGUUGAACAACUUGAAGUUUCUUGAUUUAGGCUUUAACCACUUCAACAACAGCAUCUUUUCAUCCCUAGGUGGUCUUUCAUCACUCAGACAAUUAUCAUUGGCUGCUAAUCGAUUGAAUGGAAGUAUUGAUAUUAAAGGUAAGCAAGCUUCAUCCUUUCUCCCGUGUCCCAUCUUUGUGGAUCUUAUUUUUAUUUAAAUUGUCUUUAAUUUGUCUUAUUUUUUAUUUUUUGAAGCAAGAAUAAGGUAUAGCAGUAGGUAAAGUUGAAAUACAUAUUUAUUCCUUACAAAUUUAAAUUCGUUGUCAGCCAAAUAUACCUACUUAAAACCACUCAAACAUGCCAUUGGCAGCAGUUUUUUAGGUUUUUCUAGUUAACCGUGUACUUUUUUGCUUAUUAAUAAAAUUCUUUUGUGCCGAGAUUUAAAAUAAAGAAGGAGAAAAUAAGUUAUUUAAUUAACUUUGUUUUAAGUGUUGGAAUAAAUACAGGACUGGAAUCCUUGAGUAACUUAGAGGAGCUGGACAUGAGCGGCAAUGCAAUCGACAAUCUAGUGGUUCCUAAAGGUAUACAAAAUGUUCAAAUAUUAAUAAUUUGGGGGACAGUUUAAUUGAUUUGAUUAGGGAAUGCCCAAUGACACUUACCCAAAAUAAUUUAAUCCAAAAUUGUAUCCCAAACAGAUUUCAUAGGUUUGAGGAAGUUGAAUACCCUUAAUUUAGGGGGAAGCGAAAUUCGAAUGAUAGAUGGAAGCAAGGUGUUGCAAUCAACAGGAUCACUACCGUCCCUCAAAACACUUUGCCUUUCGUAUACUAAUUUUACGGGAACAGUAGUUAAUCAAGGUAAGUAAAUCUUUUAUGUCGAAAAUAAUUGAAUUAAUAUAUAUAGCUAAAAUUUAUUGUUUCUACUUCUUUCUAAAUAGAAUUGCACAAUUUCACCAACUUGGAAGAAUUGAUAUUGUUCGAGUCUGAUCUCCAUGUAAGCCAGCUUCUGCAAAGCAUUGCAUUAUUCACUUCGUUAAAGUAUUUGUCAAUGCGAGUUUGUACACUUACAGGUGCCGUACAUGGUCAAGGUAAAUUACGGGUAUCUGAAGCUUUUAUGAUAUUAAUUCGAUAAUAAUUCUUUCUUUUCAAGUUAAUUUUUUCCCCUAAAAUAAGAUUUUUUUUCUUUUAAAUUUUAUAUAUUUUCAUUGUCCAAUAGUUCUAGCUUCUCUUAAUUGCAGGAUUCUUGAUUAAGGUUAAUGAAAUUUUAGUUCUGUUAUGUUAAGAAUAUUUCGAUCGCUUAGAAGAGUAAAGAAAAAUAAGUAAAUUAACCAAAAAAAAAAAAGAAAAGGACCGGAUUAUCCUUAUUCCCUUGCAUUAUGUGAUCAAUAUCAAAAUUAUAACCAUUUCUUGUUUAUUGCUUGUAGAUUUUCAUAAAUUCAAGAAUUUGGAACAUCUGGACAUGGAUGGGGCGCAGGUUGACGUCAACACCAGUUUUCUUCAAAUUGUCGGCGAAUCGAUGCCUUCUCUUAAGUUUUUAUCACUGACAUAUUUUAGUCUUAAUAAAAACACCAUUCUUGAUCAAGAUCAAGGUUAAUUAAUGAUUCUCCUUCUCCCUCUCUCGCAUCAUAACUAAAUUUAAUUGAGAAUAUCUAUAAUGCCAGCUAUUUAUAAACUUAAUGAAUGAUGAUAAGGAGCUAUUAUAAUGACAAAAACAACUGUAAAAUAGUGCGCUGUUGUAGUGUUAAUUGAAAAAUAAUGCUAAUUUUAUAGUUAUUUUGUUGCCAUUACGUCAGAUUCCAUUGUUCAAUUAUUUAAGUUUUAUGCAAUUAUAUUUUUCAGGACUUUGUCGGUUAGUGCAUCUGCAAGAGUUAUACAUCGGCUAUAACGAUUUGAGAGGUAGCUUGCCAUGGUGCUUGGCAAACAUGACAUCCCUUCAAGUGUUAGAUGCCUCUUCUAAUCAACUUACUGGAAACAUCUCCCCAGGCCUUUGUGAGUUGGUGCUUCUGAGAGAGUUACACAUUGAUAACAAUGAUUUUGGAGGUAGCUUGCCUUUGUGCUUGGCAAAUUUGACUUCCCUUCGAGUAUUAGAUGUCUCUUACAAUCAACUUACUGAAAACAUCUCCUCAUCUCCCCUCUUGCAUCUAACAUCUAUCAAAGAGCUCAUACUUUCAAAUAAUCACUUCUUCCAAAUCCCUAUUUCACUUGAACCACUUUUCAAUCUCUCAAAACUCAAGACUUUCGAUGGUGAAAUAUGCGCAGAAACUGAGUCACAUUAUAAUUCUUUGACCCCAAAAUUCCAACUGACUUCUAUCUCACUGUCUGGUUACAUAGAUGGUGGCAUAUUUCCCAAAUUCUUGUACCAUCAGCAUGACUUGAAGAAUGCUGAUCUCUCACACCUUAACUUGAGUGGAGAAUUUCCAAAUUGGUUGCUAGAAAACAAUACAAACUUAGAGACACUUCUUCUUGCCAAUAACUCUCUUUUUGGAUCAUUUCGGAUGCCAAUUCAUUCCCACCAGAAUUUAGCAACAUUGGAUGUCUCCAACAAUUUCUUUCAAGGCCAUAUUUCGGUAGAAAUCGGAACAUAUCUGCCAGGUUUAAUGGAUUUAAACUUAUCUAGAAAUGCUUUCAACGGUAGCAUUCCCUCUUCAUUUGCUGAUAUGAAAAUGUUGGAAAGGUUGGACAUAUCUGACAAUCAGUUGACUGGUGAAAUCCCUGAGCGCAUGGCCACGGGUUGCUUCUCAUUAGAAAUUCUUGCAUUGUCAAACAAUAGUUUGCAAGGUCAUAUAUUCUCUAAAAAAUUUAACUUGACAAAUUUGAUGACGUUGCAGUUGGAUGGUAAUAAAUUCGCUGGAGAGAUCCCAGAAAGCUUAUCUAAGUGCUAUUUGUUAGAAGGAUUAUAUCUGAGUGAUAAUCAUCUCUCUGGUAAGAUUCCAAGAUGGUUGGGUAAUUUGUCAUAUUUAGAAGAUAUUAUAAUGCCCAAUAACAAUCUUGAAGGACCAAUUCCAAUCGAGUUUUGUCAGCUUGAUUCUCUGAAGAUUUUAGACCUUUCAAACAAUAGUAUUUUCGGAACCUUACCAUCUUGUUUUAGUCCAGCAUCUAUCGAACAAGUUCAUUUGUCAAAAAACAAGAUAGAAGGACGAUUGGAAAGUAUAAUCCAUGA